rnacentral:tRNA from 2 species
UGGGACGUGGCCAAGCGGUAAGGCGGCGGACUUUGACUCCGUUAUUCGUAGGUUCGAAUCCUGCCGUCCCAGCCA